rnacentral:rRNA from 2 species
CAGCCGCCGCGGUAAAACCAGCACCUCAAGUGGUCAGGAUGAUUAUUGGGCCUAAAGCAUCCGUAGCCGGCUCUGUAAGUUUUCGGUUAAAUCUGUACGCUCAACGUACAGGCUGCCGGGAAUACUGCAGAGCUAGGGAGUGGGAGAGGUAGACGGUACUCGGUAGGAAGGGGUAAAAUCCUUUGAUCUAUUGAUGACCACCUGUGGCGAAGGCGGUCUACCAGAACACGUCCGACGGUGAGGGAUGAAAGCUGGGGGAGCAAACCGGAUUAGAUACCCGGGUAGUCCCAGCUGUAAACUAUGCAAACUCAGUGAUGCAUUGGCUUGUGGCCAAUGCAGUGCUGCAGGGAAGCCGUUAAGUUUGCCGCCUGGGAAGUACGUACGCAAGCAUGAAACUUAAAGGAACUGGCGGGGGAGCAC